AGCGAACGCUGGCGGCAGGCCUAACACAUGCAAGUCGAGCGCACCUUCGGGUGAGCGGCGGACGGGUGAGUAACGCGUGGGAACGUGCCCUUUGGUACGGGAUAACUGAGGGAAGCUUCAGCUAAUACCGUAUGUGCCCUACGGGGGAAAGAUUUAUCGCCAUUGGAGCGGCCCGCGUUGGAUUAGGUAGUUGGUGGGGUAAAGGCCCACCAAGCCGACGAUCCAUAGCUGGUCUGAGAGGAUGAUCAGCCACACUGGGACUGAGACACGGCCCAGACUCCUACGGGAGGCAGCAGUAGGGAAUCUUGCGCAAUGGGCGAAAGCCUGACGCAGCCAUGCCGCGUGAAUGAUGAAGGUCUUAGGAUUGUAAAAUUCUUUCACCGGGGAAGAUAAUGACGGUACCCGGAGAAGAAGCCCCGGCUAACUUCGUGCCAGCAGCCGCGGUAAUACGAAGAGGGCUAGCGUUGCUCGGAAUUACUGGGCGUAAAGGGCGCGUAGGCGGAUGUUUAAGUCGGGGGUGAAAGCCCGGGGCUCAACCUCGGAAUUGCCUUCGAUACUGGACAUCUUGAGUACGGGAAAGGUGAGUGGAACUCCGAGUGUAGAGGUGAAAUUCGUAGAUAUUCGGAAGAACACCAGUGGCGAAGGCGACUCACUGGCCCGUUAC
rnacentral:rRNA from 1 species